AGCGAACGCUGGCGGCAGGCUUAACACAUGCAAGUCGAGCGGGCAUAGCAAUAUGUCAGCGGCAGACGGGUGAGUAACGCGUGGGAACGUACCUUUUGGUUCGGAACAACACAGGGAAACUUGUGCUAAUACCGGAUAAGCCCUUACGGGGAAAGAUUUAUCGCCGAAAGAUCGGCCCGCGUCUGAUUAGCUAGUUGGUGAGGUAAUGGCUCACCAAGGCGACGAUCAGUAGCUGGUCUGAGAGGAUGAUCAGCCACAUUGGGACUGAGACACGGCCCAAACUCCUACGGGAGGCAGCAGUGGGGAAUAUUGGACAAUAGGCGCAAGCCUGAUCCAGCCAUGCCGCGUGAAUGAUGAAGGCCUUAGGGUUGUAAAGUUCUUUCACCGAUGAAGAUGAUGACGGUAGUCGGAGAAGAAGCCCCGGCUAACUUCGUGCCAGCAGCCGCAGUAA
rnacentral:rRNA from 1 species